rnacentral:rRNA from 1 species
AACGAACGCUGGCGGCAGGCUUAACACAUGCAAGUCGAGCGCAUGCUUCGGGGUGAGCGGCGGACGGGUGAGUAACGCGUGGGAACGUGCCCUCUUCUACGGAAUAGCCUCGGGAAACUGAGAGUAAUGCCGUAUACGCCCGCAAGGGGAAAGAUUUAUCGGAGGAGGAUCGGCCCGCGUUGGAUUAGGUAGUUGGUGGGGUAACGGCCUACCAAGCCGACGAUCCAUAGCUGGUUUGAGAGGAUGAUCAGCCACACUGGGACUGAGACACGGCCCAGACUCCUACGGGAGGCAGCAGUGGGGAGUCUUGGACAAUGGGGGCAACCCUGAUCCAGCCAUGCCGCGUGAUCGAUGAAGGCCUUAGGGUUGUAAAGAUCUUUCAGCUGGGAAGAUAAUGACGGUACCAGCAGAAGAAGCCCCGGCUAACUCCGUG